GCUAUUGGAGUUCGAUUAAGCCAUGCGAGUCGAGAGUCUUAGGGACUCGGCGUACCGCUCAGUAACACGUGGGUAACCUGCCCUAUGCUGGGGAAUAACCUCGGGAAACUGAGAAUAAUGCCCCAUAGUCCACAAUGCCUGGAACGGUUUGUGGAUCAAAGCUCCGGCGGCAUAGGAUGGGCCUGCGGCGUAUCAGGUUGUAGGGGGUGUAACGUACCCUCUAGCCAUCAACGCGUACGGGUGUUGGGAGACAUAGCCCGGAGAUGGAUUCUGAGACACGAAUCCAGACCCUACGGGGUGCAGCAGGCGCGAAAACUUGGCAAUGCGAGAAAUCGUGACCAGGGAACUCCAAGUGGCUGGGGUAAGACCCAGUCUUUUCUUGACUCUUCAAAGGUCUUGGAAUAAGGGGUGGGUAAGGACGGUGCCAGCCGCCGCGGUAAUACCGGCGCCUCAAGUGGUAGUCGAUUUUAUUGGGCCUAAAACGUCCGUAGCCUGUUUGGUACAUUCGUGGGUAAAUCAACCAGCUCAACUGGUUGAAUUCUGCGAGCACGGCCAGACUUGGGACCGGGAGAGGUGUGGGGUACGCUCAGGGUAGGGGUAAAAUCCUGUCAUCCUGAGCGGACCACCUGUUGCGAAGGCGCCACACUAGAACGGAUCCGACGGUCAGGGACGAAGCCUAGGGGCACGAACCGGAUUAGAUACCCGGGUAGUCCUAGGUGUAAACGCUGUGGACUUGGUGUUGGGGACUCUCCGAGAUUCCUCAGUGCCGAAGCGAAGGUGAUAAGUCCACUGCCUGGGGAGUACGGUCGCAAGGCUGAAACUUAAAGGAAUUGGCGGGGGAGCACCGC
rnacentral:rRNA from 1 species